CUUUGCAGCUUCAAAGCUCAAUGGUCAAACGAAUUGUCUUGUGCACAGUGUCAUCAUUGUGAGAGAAAGGGGAGCGUUGCAAUCGGGCUCGUCUGCUUCAACUUCAACAGAACUGAUCACUCAGAGCCAUCUUUAAUGUUGUGAGAUCAGGCCCCCCACUUAGUGUAUUUGACAAGCUGAGUUGGACACUCUGUAUCACCGAGUGUCAGUUUGUCAAAUACCCCAAGUGAGGUGUCACUUGUCUACAAAUAUAACCCAUCCUGGGUUACUCCACAGACUGACCAGCCUGCUCCACAGGGUAAUCUACCCAUAGAAAUAACAUUUUAUUUUAUUGUCAUUUCUAUGAUUCUACCACACAAAGGAAACUGACAACACCACGGCAACGGGCUCGGAACCCUUUUCUUGUGAAACUUUUGAGUAUAUAGAAAAGGAACGAGGUUUAAUGUGGUUAAAGUGGUAAUAGUAGAGACAAAUGCUUAGUUGUUGUAUUAUCUGUUUAACUGUCACACUUCAAUUAUUGUCAUACAAAUUAUCAUUUUAAUGAACAGAAAGAUUCAUGUUAUCCCAUGAGAGUCCAAAUAAGUGUAAUUAAUGAAACAGCAAAGGCUUGAUAGAGAUGUUUGAAUAAUACAGGUAUGUUAAUAGAUUUAAUUGGCCAAAAAAGCCAACCCCAAUUUAGUUUUUCAGUCUCUUUAUUUCUAGGCUUAUAGAACUGUCACUACUCAUCUCAGCCAAAUAUAUAACGCAACAUAUUGUUAUUGUCAGGCCAGGUAAAGCUGCUCUGAAAUUCCAUCAUUUUUUGAAGAUGUUUUGAAGCAAUUUGCUUCCAGAGGGAUACAGAGGUUAUAAAAAAUGUUGGUUAAUAAGGUUAUGAACAUUUUAGAAUUUUUAAUGAAAAAUGUUGAGAACAACCUAAAUGUGAGGUCUGAGUUUGAUAAUGAUCUGUUGCCAGAUAUGAAAACAUUAAAAUGGACGCCAAAUGUAUCUUAUCAUAUUGGAUUUACACACGUCUUGUGUAAGAGCAAAUCCUACUGGAGAAAAUUAUCGGUUUCUACAAGACUGAAGGGAUGACCAACCUCUUAUGAGACUGCACAUCUGUUUAGGUAUUGGCCUCAUUUUUCCCAUUUAUUUUAAUAAAUUGUUUUAUUUAUACUUAACGGAAGUGUUCUUUCCCUGCCAACAUGCAGAAACAUGACUUUUCAAUUUCACUUGUGAAAAUCAGACUUUGACUUGGGCGACAUGCAGAGGGGAAGAUAAUAGCCCAAUAAAAUAUACAAUGCC